GAUGAACGCUGGCGGCGUGCCUAAUACAUGCAAGUCGAGCGAACAGACGAGGAGCUUGCUCCUCUGACGUUAGCGGCGGACGGGUGAGUAACACGUGGAUAACCUACCUAUAAGACUGGGAUAACUUCGGGAAACCGGAGCUAAUACCGUAUAAUAUAUUGAACCGCAUGGUUCAAUAGUGAAAGACGGUUUUGCUGUCACUUAUAGAUGGAUCCGCGCCGCAUUAGCUAGUUGGUAAGGUAACGGCUUACCAAGGCAACGAUGCGUAGCCGACCUGAGAGGGGGAUAGGCCACACUGGAGCUGAGACACGGUCCAGACUCCUACGGCAGGCAGCAGUAGGGAAUCUUCCGCAAUGGGCGAAAGCCUGACGGAGCAACGCCGCGUGAGUGAUGAAGGUCUUCGGAUCGUAAAACUCUGUUAUUAGGGAAGAACAAAUGUGUAAGUAACUAUGCACGUCUUGACGGUACCUAAUCAGAAAGCCACGGCUAACUACGUG
rnacentral:rRNA from 1 species